CCGGGCUCCUGAAAGAGGAAGGAUGCCGGAAUGCGACCGGGUAGAGGGUGCUGUCUGCCUGGGCCUUAGUCUCCAGGAAUCCCGACAUCGCCCGAUGAUUCUGGGAGGAAUGACGAGCUGACCUUUCCGAAUCUGGAAACUCAAGAUCAAGGGUUCAUUUCUUCUGAGACCUGUCUCCAUUGCUUAUAUCAGAACCCAGGUCCAGUGUGGUUGCAAGACCGGAAGUUCUCCACGAAUCCUCAAAGCCUUCAACUGAGAUUUCCGAGGCAUACACCUUUAUGGACUAAAGGGCUAUCAGGUUCUCAUCCUAUCCAGCAUGCAGAUAACCAUUCUUAGGCUACCUAGUCUCUACCAUGU